rnacentral:lncRNA from 10 species
GGAGGAGCCAGAGGCGGAGGCUGUUACCAACUGGCUACCUAGAUCCAAGUGAAUCAGGACACUAACUUCUCUCCAAGAUCUUUUACACUUGUGAAACGGCACAGCUCUCUAAACCAAACACUGACAGCAGUUUAAUUUUACAGAUAUAAAAAAAAUCCGAGUCAGAGAAAUCAUCACGAUGAAGUCAGAGGCGAGAAACUGUCAGGGUAUACAGAGUCUUGCUCUGUCGCCCAGGUUGAAGUGCAGUGGUUCGAUCUCGGCUCAAUGCAACCUCUACCUCCCUGGCUCCCGCGAUUCUCCUGCCUCAGCCUCCUGAGUAGCUGAGAUUACAGGCGCCCGCCACCACCCCCGGCUAAUUUUGGUAUUUUUAGUAGAGAUGGGGUUUCACCAUGUUGGCCAGGCUGAUCUGGAACUCCUAGCCUCAAGCAAUCCGCCUUCAAAAGUGUUGGGGAUUACAGGAGUGAGCCACCGCGCCCGGCCUAUCAAUGAAUAAGAAAACUUUUAAAGAACCACAGGAUAGUAUUGGAGGUCAAGUCAAGUAUGUUCCUCUUGGAAAUUUAGUAACAAACUACAUGUUGCUAUCUCAUAAUAGCAGCUAACAUUUAUGAAGUAUUCAUUGUCAUGAGGCACCGUACAUAGAUUUCUAAUUUAAUCCUUACAACGAUUUUAUUAGGGAGAAACUGCUAUUAGACCCAUUUUGUAAAUGAGAAAACUAAGGCACACAAAGUUUAAUGAGGGAACCAGGAUUAAACCUAAGCAAUCUAACUCCAGGUCCCAGAUUUUUUAACCAUUACAGUACUGUUUAAUUUGAUUUGAUAUGUUAAAAGGAUUAAUAAAAUUAAUACAGGUCCAUUCCCUUAUUCAUAAAUGUUCAUUGUCUUCAUUUAUUUCUUUAUACUGUUCUGCUGAAAUUGCACUCUCAUCUCCCCAAUAACUUUGUAAUAUCCAAUGCCAUUUUUUUCAGUCAUCCCAUUUUAAAAUAUAUUUUUACUAGAAUAGUGAAAUAUAUAUUCAGAUAAAAUUGGCUUUGUUUUAAUAAUGAUCAGUAAAAGUAAAUUCAUUUUAAUCAUUUCCACACAUUCAUGAAAAGUAAAGGGGAAAAAUGGGCAUAGAGGUAACCACUAGAAUUAGGCUUUCUUGGAUGGGUAGACCAGGUGUGGAGGUG